AUGCCAUGUCCCGUCUUCUUCUGCUGCUCUCGCUGAUUUGUCACUCAGUGUUAGUGCGCCACUUUUGCCCCAAGCGGUCGCUGAGGGAAAGUGGGUGUGGGUCUUGUUGAUUAUGACACCUGUUGAAGGAAGGAAGGAUGCUGGAGGUGAAGAUGUGAUGAGAAGUUAACACUCGCAGUCGUGACAAACGUACAAACUGACAGUAGCCAGCGACUUUUAGGGGUAGGUUACGUUGUUUUACAUGAUAUUUAUACUUUUAAGUAGGAUGAAAUUGUGAUUGCCAACUGCAUGCUCUCGUCCAGGUGUGCCCACUUGUUCAGCAGAAACUGCUCCCUGAGGGCUGGGAAUGAGAAAAACUACGGAUGUCGGACAUUUUGCAAGUUUUUACUCAAGGCACAAGCGGGACUUUGCAGCGACCAAUCAGAUGAGCACCUUUGAGCGCGGGGGCGUGGUCAUCCCUCCUCUGCACCAGUGUUCCUAAACUCGCCCCCCCAGCGGCCAAGUAGACUCACCGACAAGGAACUUGCACGGCGGCAGUUUUUGUGACCCCAAGAUGCAAGAGCCAGGAGGAUAAAGAGAAGGCGUCAACACAAAGACUGUUUGGGCUACAAACACACGGAUCCUGCAGCUCUCAGGAUGGCGGCGAAGGCGAUGGCGCUCUGCAUCAACCUGCACGCACCUGACACUUGCAGCAAGGCUCGUCUAAUGAGGAGGAGGAGGAGGACGUGUCACACAAUCCCACGGAAGUGAGUUCACUUACUGUUUGCCUCCACCACUCCGGCCCGAGCGCCGUCUCUGAUUGGCCAUCAAGACACUCACCUGCUCCUGAUCACUAAUCAGAGAGCUACAGUUCGUAUGACUGCUCUUCAAGACUCUUUUUACCUGCACAUCGUCUCCAGUCUGCACACCUUCAGUGAGCGGUCAGUGAAGGAGGAGGUGGAAGGACGGGAGACAGUAACCUGAAAAGAUUGUGCUGAAAAUAAUCUACUUCACGUGAUAAUUGAAGACUUUGGUAAACGGCACUCUGACUCCUGACGUGAUAUCUGGGAACGGGUUAUUACCUGCUUUUUCCACCUGAUCAUUCAACGGUUUAUCCACUCCUCUGCUGAUCAAUGCUACUCCACCACUACUUCUACUGCACUUCUAGUCCUGAAUGCCAAGAGUCGCAUGAAAAGGGAAAAAGGUGGAAAAUUGUGAGGACACCUUUUGGGCAACGCCUCCGGAAAGUCGGCGUGCUGCACCUGCUGAUGAUUACUUGCAUGACAGCGCAUGGAGCUUCAUGUCCAGCAUCCAGCAAAGACCAGCAAAUGUAUAUGAAGCAGCACUUCCAAGAAGACAUCUCCGAUUUGGUGCAGGGGGGUGGAGCCUGUGUGAAGGCAGCUUACACCCUGGACAUCACACUACUCAUCAUCCAGAAAAGAAAUGUGAAGGCAAACAUCAGUUUGAGGACACGAUGAUACUUGCUGUCGGGAGAAGUGGGUCAGCUGGGCCACCUUUGACCCUGCAGGCCUCAGGUGUGUUUACCUCACAAUACCGAGAAGACACCCCACCUUUGACCCUGCAGACCUCAGGUGCGACUUAUCCUCCGGAUCGACUUAUACGCCGAAAAAUAUGGUAUAUCUUACCGGAGAAAUCAUUGGAUUAUUCGUCGUCCUGCAGCAGCUGUUUAAAAGGCAGCCGUGAGCUUGGCUCCUCGGCUUCUCUCUGAGACACUUCGUGUUCACCGCAGCCAUCCGACCUCGAGGUGUCAGGUGGGCCCACACAGAAAUGGCGGGGGUGGUCUUUGAAGUCCAGGUAGUCCUCCACAAAGUGAGGAUGCUCCUCCACCAAACGCCGAAGUUCAUCUGGGCAAAGAAGAGCAAAGGAUGGCGGCGAGGUCAUGCUCCUGGAGUUGAGCGGUGGUGUCACAGUCCCAGUCAUCAUCAUACAUCUGUGCACCAGUGAGCGCCCUUCGUGUUAACACAAGCCAUGUAAAGAAGCAUCCUUUGUAGAGCACCACAACAUGGUGGUCUUACCUCAAAGGCCAUCUUGAGGGUGUCCAUUGCCUUGGACGGCCUGUGAAUGGUGGACAAGGCAAGCAGGAAGUGCCGGAUGUCCGCAUAGCCCUUUUCCUGCCGGACACAAAGUAGUGAGAGUUGUGCUACGCCUGCAAGUGUCCACAAGAGGGAGACAUAGUGUCUAUCUGGCCCUCUUUCUGAACAACACAAAGUAGUGAGAGUUGUGCUACGCCUGCAAGUGUCCACAAGAGGGAGACAUACCUGGGCAAAGAGGCCGUGGAUAUGUCGGAGUGUGUCGGUCACACACACACGGAGGAAGAGGGCAAAGUCCUCCAAAGUCAGAAGAUGUUUGCGCAGCUUCCUGACUGUGCUCACCUGCUCCUGCAACCAGCUCUCCGUCGUCUUGAGCCUGCAGAGAAGAAUGUGAGAGAGUUAUUAAACAGUUCAUCAUCAGUGACUUGUUAGCACGAGACAAAUCUCACAAUUUUGAUUCCAAACAAACAUCAUACUGAUUUUUUACAGUUGUAGAAUGUUCUAUUUAUUUAUUUUUGUAUGAAUGAAGCAGUAAUAAAAAAUAAAAUAAUCCAACU